rnacentral:rRNA from 1 species
UACGUAGGGGGCAAGCGUUGUCCGGAUUUAUUGGGCGUAAAGAGCGUGUAGGCGGCCAUACAGGUCCGUUGUGAAAACUGGAGGCUUAACCUCCAGACGUCGAUGGAAACCGUAUGGCUAGAGUCCGGAAGAGGAGAGUGGAAUUCCUGGUGUAGCGGUGAAAUGCGCAGAUAUCAGGAAGAACACCCGUGGCGAAGGCGGCUCUCUGGGACGGUACUGACGCUGAGACGCGAAAGCGUGGGGAGCGAACGGG